rnacentral:rRNA from 1 species
GACAGAGGGUGCAAACGUUGUUCGGAAUUACUGGGCGUAAAGCGAGUGUAGGCGGUUUGGUAAGUCGGAUGUGAAAGCCCCGGGCUCAACCCGGGAAGUGCACUCGAUACUGCCAAGCUAGAGUAUCGGAGAGGUUGGUGGAAUUCUCGGUGUAGAGGUGAAAUUCGUAGAUAUCGAGAGGAACACCGGUGGCGAAGGCGGCUCUCUGGACCGGUACUGACGCUGAGACGCGAAAGCUAGGGGAGCAAACGGG